rnacentral:rRNA from 1 species
AUUGAACGCUGGCGGCAGGCCUAACACAUGCAAGUCGAACGGUAACAGGAAGCAGCUUGCUGCUUCGCUGACGAGUGGCGGACGGGUGAGGAAUGUCUGGGACGCCGCCUGAUGGAGGGGGAUAACUACUGGAAACGGUAGCUAAUACAGCAUAAUGUCGCAAGACCAAAGAGGGGGAGCUUCGGGCCGCUUGCCAUUGGGUGCGCCCAGGUGGGGUUCGCUUGUUGGUGGGGUAACGGCUCACCAAGGCGACGAUCCCCAGCUGGUCUGAGAGGAUGACCGGCCACACUGGAACUGAGACACGGUCCAGACUCCUACGGGAGGCAGCAGUGGGGAAUAUUGCGCAAUGGGCGCAAUCCUGAUGCAGCCAUGCCGCGUGUAUGAAGAAGGCCUUCGGGUUGUAAAGUACUUUCAGCGGGGAGGAAGGGAGUAAAGUUAAUACCUUUGCUCAUUGACGUUACCCGCAGAAGAAGCACCGGCUAACUACGUG